AUCUUUGCGCAGUGGCAGUAUCGUAGCCUAUGAGGUUUAUCCGAGGCGCGAUUAUUGCUAGUUGAAAACUUUACCCAAUACCCCGCCUUGACGACUUGAAAUAUAGUCGGCAAUGGCAAUUUUUUGACGGUCUCUACGGAGA
rnacentral:snRNA from 1 species